rnacentral:tRNA from 1 species
GAUAAAGUGGCUGAGUGUAGGCGGUAGGCUGUAAAUCUAUGAACGAGUUGUUAACUCCUUUAUCA